GCAAGUCGUGCGAGAAAGUUCUUCGGAUAUGAGUAGAGCGGCGGACGGGUGAGUAACGCGUAGGAAUCUACCUAGUAGAAGGGGAUAGCCCGGGGAAACCCGGAUUAAUACCGUAUACCUCCUUCGGGAGAAAGAAGGCCUCUCUUUGAAGCUUUCGCUACUAGAUGAGCCUGCGUAAGAUUAGCUUGUUGGUGAGGUAAAGGCUCACCAAGGCUACGAUCUUUAGCUGGUCUGAGAGGACGACCAGCCACAUUGGGACUGAGACACGGCCCAGACUCCUACGGGAGGCAGCAGUGGGGAAUAUUGGACAAUGGGCGCAAGCCUGAUCCAGCCAUACCGCGUGUGUGAAGAAGGCCUUCGGGUUGUAAAGCACUUUAAGCAGGGAGAAAAAGUUAUAAGCUAAUACCUUAUGACCUUGAUGUUACCUGCAGAAUAAGCACCGGCUAAUUCCGUACCAGCAGCCGCGGUAAUACGGAAGGUGCAAGCGUUAAUCGGAAUUACUGGGCGUAAAGCGCGCGUAGGUGGUUUGUUAAGUUGGAUGUGAAAGCCCUGGGCUCAACCUAGGAACUGCAUCCAAAACUAACUCACUAGAGUACGAUAGAGGGAGGUAGAAUUCAUAGUGUAGCGGUGGAAUGCGUAGAUAUUAUGAAGAAUACCAGUGGCGAAGGCGGCCUCCUGGAUCUGUACUGACACUGAGGUGCGAAAGCGUGGGUAGCGAACAGGAUUAGAUACCCUGGUAGUCCACGCC
rnacentral:rRNA from 1 species